GCAAUGGAUCAGCAGUUGAAAAGGGAGUACUGUGAAAUUUUCAAGGCACAGAAACUUCUUAUCACAAAUAAGUUAAUCCAAAACACGAAGUAGAAAAGGAAAACUGGACAGCUCUCGGUGAAACUGAUAAUAAACUCCUGCAAAGCAGAUUGUUUGGUUCUUCUUCCUCCAUGGUGCCUGGCCCAUCAUUCUGCAGAUAUAAGAUAAGGGAGAGAGAGAAGAGUCAAUAGUGAAGAGGAAGUUUAUCACAUUCGUGAGAAACAUCCUUCCUGAGCUUGCAGCAAAGUGAUCACUGGCCUGUGGAGAAGAAUGUAAAGUUGUUUCACCAGAUGGAACAAAGUUACAGGUUUUAGACAUGAUUUUUAAUGCCAGUGAGGUAUAUCUCUCUUCUAUAAAAUGUACUUGUCUCUAUGAUGGGUUAUUUUUUUAGAUUCUUCCAUCCUUUGGAAAAAGGCAAAAUAUAAAGGCAGUAUGGGCUGUUCACAGCAUAAACUCUGUAAAUUGGUCAUUAGCCAACUUUCCUCAUAGAGAUGGGCACCUUGUGUCAAAAACAGGAAAAUAAAUUAACUUGGACAUGCUUUGGAUGAUUUUCAGCAUGAAAACUGAUAUCCAUGGACUGGAAAUGAAUUUACUCUCUAAAUAUUUGCAGUCAUGAAAUAGUUUAGAUGAAAAUGCUCUCUGAUGAUUCAAAAGUAGAACACUGAGAAAUAAUAAAAUUAGAAUCAUUUUAGAGAAUUCAAGAAGAUGUAUUGUAUAAAGUACCAGUGGGUAGAAGUGGACACAACUCUGAUUGUGACUGCUUAAAUAUACUUCUAAGAGAGUUUUCUAUCUUUUGAAGAAAACUUUCAUGUUUAGGGAGAGGUUUAGGUUUUUGUUUUUUUUUUUUUUUUCAA